CGAGGUAAGCGGCGGGGAUAGGGCAUGCAGUCGAGCGGGAUCCUGUUCCUUCAAUUCUUCGGAAAAGAAGGCGCGGGUGAGAGCGGCGAACGGGUGAGUAAUGUAUGGGUAAUUUGCCUUGAAGCUUGGGAUAGCCACCCGAAAGGGUGGGUAAUACCAGAUGUGCUCGGGUGCCGCAUGGCACCUUAUGUAAAGGCGGGGAUCUUCGGACCUGCCACUUUAAGAUGAGCCCAUAUCCUAUCAGCUAGUUGGUAAGGUAACGGCUUACCAAGGCUUACGGGUAGCUGGUCUGAGAGGACGACCAGCCACACUGGGACUGAGACACUGCCCAGACUCCUACGGGAGGCUGCAGUCGAGAAUAUUUGUCAAUGCACGAAAGUGUGAACAUGCGACGCCGCGUGGAGGACGAAGGCCUUCGGGUUGUAAACUCCUGUCAUGAGGGAAUAAAUGUGAACUGGCUAAUACCCGGUUCGCUUGACAGUACCUCAGGAGGAAGUCACGGCUAACUCUGUGCCAGCAGCCGCGGUAAUACAGAGGUGGCAAGUGUUGUUCGGAUUUACUGGGCGUAAAGGGUCCGCAGGCGGCUUUGUGUGUCAGAUGUGAAAUCCCACGGCUCAACCGUGGAAAUGCAUUUGAAACUACAGGGCUAGAGUACGGGAGAGGAGAGGGGAAUUCAUGGUGUAGCGGUGAAAUGCGUAGAUAUCAUGAAGAACACCGGUGGCGAAAGCGCCUCUCUGGACCGAUACUGACGCUCAUGGACGAAAGCCAGGGGAGCAAAGAGGAUUAGAUACCCUCGUAGUCCUGGCCAUAAACGGUGCGCACUUGAUGUGGGAGGUUUACCCCCUUCCGUGUCGAAGCUAACGCGAUAAGUGCGCCGCCUGGGAAGUACGGCCGCAAGGUUAAAACUCAAAGGAAUUGACGG
rnacentral:rRNA from 1 species